UGUGACACUGCUGCUCAU
rnacentral:misc_RNA from 1 species